CCCUUAGAUGUUCUGGGCCGCACGCGCGCUACACUGAUGCAUUCAACGAGUUUCUUCCUGGUCCGAGAGGAAUGGGUAACCUUUUGAAAGUGCAUCGUGAUAGGGAUAGACUAUUGCAAUUAUUGGUCUUCAACGAGGAAUCCUAGUAGACGUAGUUCAUCAGACUGCAUCGAUUACGUCCCUGCCCUUUGUACACACCGCCCGUCGCUCCUACCGAUUGAAUGCUCAGGUGAGCCAUUCGGACUUUCAUCAUGCUGGUUUCCAGUUUUGAUGAAGGAAAGUCUUGCGAACCUUAUCAUUUAGAGGAAGGAGAAGUCGUAACA
rnacentral:rRNA from 1 species